rnacentral:rRNA from 1 species
GAUGAACGCUGGCGGCGUGCCUAAUACAUGCAAGUCGAGCGAACAGAUGAGGAGCUUGCUCCUCUGACGUUAGCGGCGGACGGGUGAGUAACACGUGGAUAACCUACCUAUAAGACUGGUAUAACUUCGGGAAACCGGAGCUAAUACCGGAUAAUAUAUUGAACCGCAUGGUUCAAUAGUGAAAGACGGUUUUGCUGUCACUUAUAGAUGGAUCCGCGCCGCAUUAGCUAGUUGGUAAGGUAACGGCUUACCAAGGCAACGAUGCGUAGCCGACCUGAGAGGGUGAUAGGCCACACUGGAACUGAGACACGGUCCAGACUCCUACGGGAGGCAGCAGUAGGGAAUCUUCCGCAAUGGGCGAAAGCCUGACGGAGCAACGCCGCGUGAGUGAUGAAGGUCUUCGGAUCGUAAAACUCUGUUAUUAGGGAAGAACAAAUGUGUAAGUAACUAUGCACGUCUUGACGGUACCUAAUCAGAAAGCCACGGCUAACUACGUG